UUUCCCCCAUUCCACUGCCUGCAUCUAGAAUCCCAGUAUGUUUGAGGCUAUGGAUUACAGGUAAUAAUGUUCAAAGCAAAAACACAUUAUGCGUGAAUGGCCUUUCUGUGUGUAUAACCCUCACAUCACCAUUAAAACUUUGAAAACUUCCAGACAGAGCUCUGUUAUACCAACAGUCAAAGUCCUCCCUAAAGAACUUUCCCAGAGUUGUUAAAUCUCGGAUCUAGUGAGGGUUCAGUGUUAGCUGAAGAUGGUAAACAAUAGAUCAACACCCAGACAUUGUCUAUGGAAAUGAAUACAAAUGCUGUAUUGUGGUGUUCCACAAUGUUAGAUUGAAAUAAGUAUUUGCAUCAUUGCAGAAAGGGCAGAGCUGCUAUAGCCCACAUUAGUGAUCAUUUUAAACAAUGGGAUAUGAUCUGAAAACACUGUACUGUAGAUGAGACCCUGUAUAGUGAAUCUAUUUGGAAUCUGUUCCUCAUUGUUAAGUUCCCUCCCUAAAACAGUGAGAUUGUUCUGUCUUUGUUGACCUGUAGAGUUCAAAUGUAAAUAAGACAUUAAUCAAAGCUGUGAAUGAAUGGCUGGAACUCUAAUGCCAAUGUGUAUCUAACCUCACAUAACUCUCUCUAAAGUUUUCUGGAGAUGUUUGUGAGGAGGAGCCAUGUUUUGACAGUCAGGCAAUACCUCCGAUUUCCCUCCGAGGGCUGGAGAGGUGACGGCGGACAGAAUUCGGGGUCUCAGCAGGUUCCACAGUUGAUCGCUAUGAACAAUGUUCCUGUGGGAUCUCCACACCCACAGCCUCUACAGAAGCGAGCAUGCAUCCCAGCGGCCUACUCCUCCAUCCUCUGCGUCUCCUGGGCUACGAGACUGCUGGAGCCUGAAGCUGCCCACCCUCCUGCACUUUUAACCCUCCAAACAACCACAAACACUGACUCACUGAAGACUCCUCAUGCCUUCCAACAAACCACAAACCUCCACAGUUUGUGAUUUUAACAGCUUCUGAUGGAGGAAUUAAAGCAACUGUGAAGCAGAAUCAAAGAAGUGAGAUUAAGAGUGAAUCUUUUACACGCUCUUGUGAUUUUCCAAAUCUAUACAACUGACUUUCUUCUUGGGAACAUAAUAGUUGAUAUAUAUAGAUAUUUUUUUAAAUGUCU
ensembl:lncRNA